rnacentral:rRNA from 1 species
UACAGAGGGUGCAAGCGUUGUUCGGAAUUACUGGGCGUAAAGCGCGUGUAGGCGGCGUGGUAAGUCGGAUGUGAAAUCCCUGGGCUCAACCUGGGAACUGCAUUCGAUACUGCCGAGCUAGAGUGUGGGAGAGGGUAGUGGAAUUCCCGGUGUAGCGGUGAAAUGCGUAGAUAUCGGGAGGAACAUCAGUGGCGAAGGCGACUGCCUGGCCCAACACUGACGCUGAGGUGCGAAAGCGUGGGUAGCAAACAGG